CCACUGGUUUCAGCACAUCACACAGAUGCUUAAUCGGAUUGAGAUCUGGGAUAUUUGGAAGCCAAGGCAAAACCUUGAACUCUGUUAUAUUCCUCAAACAACUCCUGAACAUUUUUUGCACUGUGGCAGGGUGCAUUAUACUGAUGAAAGAGGCCACUGCUGUCAGGGAACACCAUUGUCAUGAAGGGGUGUAGGUGAUCUGUAUCAGUCAC